ACGAACGCUGGCGGCGUGCCUAAUACAUGCAAGUAGAACGCACAGUUUAUACCGUAGCUUGCUACACCAUAGACUGUGAGUUGCGAACGGGUGAGUAACGCGUAGGUAACCUGCCUGGUAGCGGGGGAUAACUAUUGGAAACGAUAGCUAAUACCGCAUAAUAUUAAUUAUUGCAUGAUAAUUAAUUGAAAGGUGCAAUUGCACCACUACCAGAUGGACCUGCGUUGUAUUAGCUAGUAGGUGAGGUAACGGCUCACCUAGGCGACGAUACAUAGCCGACCUGAGAGGGUGAUCGGCCACACUGGGACUGAGACACGGCCCAGACUCCUACGGGAGGCAGCAGUAGGGAAUCUUCGGCAAUGGACGAAAGUCUGACCGAGCAACGCCGCGUGAGUGAAGAAGGUUUUCGGAUCGUAAAGCUCGGUUGUAAGAGAAGAACGGGUGUGAGAGUGGAAAGUUCACACUGUGACGGUAUCUUACCAGAAGAGGACGGCUAACUACGUG
rnacentral:rRNA from 1 species